UAAAAGCUUGGUCCUGACUUUACUAUCAGCUAUAGCCCAAUUUAUACAUGCAAGUAUCCGCACCCCAGUGAGAAUGCCCUCAAUUCCCCAUCCGGGAGCGAGGAGCAGGUAUCAGGCACACACUAUAGCCCAAGACGCCUUGCUAUGCCACACCCUCAAGGGACCCAGCAGUAAUUAACAUUAAGCAAUAAGUGAAAACUUGACUUAGUUAAGGCUAACAGGGCCGGUAAAUCUCGUGCCAGCCACCGCGGUUAUACGAAAGACCCAAGUUGAUAGUCACGGCGUAAAGAGUGGUUAAGAGACCUAAAAAAUAAAGCCAAACACUUCCCAGGCCGUUGCACGUUUUCCGGAAACACGAAACCCAAUCACGAAAGUAGCUUUACAUAAAUCACCUGACCCCACGAAAGCUAAGAAACAAACUGGGAUUAGAUACCCCACUAUGCUUAGCCCUAAACCUAGAUGUAUAAUUCACCAUAAACAUCCGCCCGAUUACUACGAGCCCCAGCUUAAAACUCAAAGGACUUGGCGGCGUCUCCACCCGACUAGAGGAGCCUGUUCUAGAACCGAUAACCCCCGUUUAACCUCACCACCCCUUGUUUUCACAGCCUAUAUACCGCCGUCGUCAGCUUACCCUGUGAAGGAAAAAUAGUAAGCAAAAUGGACACAACCCAAAACGUCAGGCCGAGGUGCAGCAUAUGGGUUGGGAAGAAAUGGGCUACAUUUUCUACAAUAGAAUAUUUACGAACGGCAGCAUGAAACAUGCGCCCGAAGGUGGAUUUAGUAGUAAAAAGCAAACAGAGUGUCCUUUUGAAUAGGCUCUGAGAUGAGCACACACCGCCCGUCACCCCCUCCUCUCAACUCCAAAUAUAGUAUUUAACACAUUAACAUGAAUUCGGAGGGGCAAGUCGUAACAAGGUAAGUGUACCAGAAGGUGUACUUGGAACAAC
rnacentral:ncRNA from 1 species